rnacentral:rRNA from 1 species
AUUGAACGCUGGCGGCAGGCCUAACACAUGCAAGUCGAGCGAGUGGCGGACGGGUGAGUAAUAUAUCGGAACGUGCCCAGUAGCGGGGGAUAACUACUCGAAAGAGUGGCUAAUACCGCAUACUAUUGGAGCGGCCGAUAUCGGAUUAGCUAGUUGGUGGGGUAAAGGCUCACCAAGGCAACGAUCCGUAGCUGGUUUGAGAGGACGACCAGCCACACUGGGACUGAGACACGGCCCAGACUCCUACGGGAGGCAGCAGUAGGGAAUUUUGGACAAUGGGGGAAACCCUGAUCCAGCCAUCCCGCGUGUAUGAGAAGGCCCUAGGGUUGUAAAGUACUUUCAGUCGGGAGGCGUUACCGACAGAAGAAGCACCGGCUAACUACGUGCCAGCAGCCGCGGUAAUUC